UACGUAGGGGGCAAGCGUUGUUCGGAAUUACUGGGCGUAAAGCGCGCGUAGGCGGUUUGGAAAGUCAGAUGUGAAAGCCCCGGGCUCAACUUGGGAACUGCAUUUGAUACUGCCAGACUAGAGUACAGAAGAGGUGACUGGAAUUCCCAGUGUAGCGGUGAAAUGCGUAGAUAUUGGGAGGAACACCGGUGGCGAAGGCGGCUAUCUGGACCGGUACUGACGCUGAGACGCGAAAGCCAGGGGAGCAAACGGG
rnacentral:rRNA from 1 species